rnacentral:misc_RNA from 1 species
GAUGAAGAACGUAGCGAAGUGCGAUAAGUAAUGUGAAUUGCAGAAUUCAGUGAAUCAUCGAAUCUUUGAACGCACCUUGCGCUCUUUGGUAUUCCGAAGAGCAUGCCUGUUUGAGUGUCAUGAAAAUAUCAACCUUGACUUGGGUUUUGUGCUCUAGUCUCGGCUUGGAAUUGGGUGCUUGCCGCUUUUACGAGCGGCUCACCUUAAAUGUAUUAGCUGGAUCUGUCUUUGAGACUUGGUUUGACUUGGCGUAAUAAGUAUUUCGCUAAGGACAUUCUUCGGAGUGGCCUCGUUUCUAGGACGCUUGUCCGCUUUCCAAUACAAGUUCCACCUCGUGGACAUGACUUUUUAUUAUCUGGCCUCAAAUCAGGUAGGACUACCCGCUGAACUUAAGCAUAUCAAUAAGCGGAGGA